rnacentral:rRNA from 1 species
UACGUAGGGGGCAAGCGUUGUCCGGAAUCAUUGGGCGUAAAGAGCGUGUAGGCGGCUUGGUAAGUCCGCUGUGAAAGUCCAGGGCUCAACCCUGGAAUGCCGGUGGAAACUGUCAAGCUUGAGUCCGGAAGAGGCGAGUGGAAUUCCUGGUGUAGCGGUGAAAUGCGCAGAUAUCAGGAGGAACACCAGUGGCGAAGGCGAGUCUCUGGACAUUUCCUGACGCUGAGGCACGAAAGCCAGGGGAGCAAACGGG